rnacentral:sRNA from 1 species
CUCAUGACCAUCUGACUAACAUGCACCUUCCUGUGCACCUGCGUGGCUUGCUGCUGGGGCCUGGGCCCGGGCCAGCCUGGAUGCCAGGCAGAUGCCAGGCAGGGCCUCACUGCACCUCCCCCACAGCCACCAAGGUGUUCCAGGGCGUCCUGGAGCUGGAGGGCGUCGAGGGCCAGGAGCUGUUCUACACGCCUGAGAUGGCUGACCCCAAGUCAGAGCUGUUCGGGGAGACAGCCAGGAGCAUUGAGAGCACCCUGGACGACCUCUUCCGGAAUUCAGACGUCAAGAAGGAUUUUCGGAGUGUCCGCUUGCGGGACCUGGGGCCCGGCAAAUCCGUCCGCGCCAUUGUGGAUGUGCACUUUGACCCCACCACAGCCUUCAGGGCACCCGACGUGGCCCGGGCCCUGCUCCGGCAGAUCCAGGUGUCCAGGCGCCGGUCCUUGGGGUUGAGGCGGCCGC